rnacentral:rRNA from 1 species
UACGUAGGGGGCAAGCGUUGUCCGGAUUCAUUGGGCGUAAAGAGCGUGUAGGCGGCCAGGUAGGUCGGUUGUGAAAACUGGAGGCUCAACCUUCAGAGGUCGACCGAAACCAUCUGGCUAGAGUCCGGGAGAGGAGAGUGGAAUUCCUGGUGUAGCGGUGAAAUGCGCAGAUAUCGUAAGGAAGACCAGUGGCGAAGGCGGGUCUCUGGA